rnacentral:rRNA from 1 species
CCUACGGGGGGCAGCAGUGAGGAAUAUUGGUCAAUGGGCGCGAGCCUGAACCAGCCAAGUCGCGUGAGGGAAGACGGUCCUAUGGAUUGUAAACCUCUUUUGUCUGGGAGCAAAAGAGGCCACGCGUGGCCUUCCGAGAGUACCCUAAGAAAAAGCAUCGGCUAACUCCGUGCCAGCAGCCGCGGUAAUACGGAGGAUGCGAGCGUUAUCCGGAUUUAUUGGGUUUAAAGGGUGCGCAGGCGGAAGAUCAAGUCAGCGGUAAAAUUGAGGGGCUCAACCACUACGAGCCGUUGAAACUGGUGUUCUGGAGACAGCGAGAAGUAUGCGGAAUGCGGGG